rnacentral:rRNA from 1 species
ACGGAACUCUUCGGAGGGAAGUUCGUGGAACGAGCGGCGGACGGGUGAGUAACACGUAGGCAACCUGCCUGUAAGACUGGGAUAACUCGCGGAAACGCGAGCUAAUACCGGAUAACACUUUCUAUCACCUGAUGGAAAGUUGAAAGGCGGCUUUUGCUGUCACUUACAGAUGGGCCUGCGGCGCAUUAGCUAGUUGGUGAGGUAACGGCUCACCAAGGCGACGAUGCGUAGCCGACCUGAGAGGGUGAUCGGCCACACUGGGACUGAGACACGGCCCAGACUCCUACGGGAGGCAGCAGUAGGGAAUCUUCCGCAAUGGACGAAAGUCUGACGGAGCAACGCCGCGUGAGUGAUGAAGGUUUUCGGAUCGUAAAACUCUGUUGUCAGGGAAGAACAAGUACGAUAGUAACUGAUCGUACCUUGACGGUACCUGACCAGAAAGCCACGGCUAACUACGUGCCAGCAGCCGCGGUAAUACGUAGGUGGCAAGCGUUGUCCGGAAUUAUUGGGCGUAAAGCGCUCGCAGGCGGUUCUUUAAGUCUGAUGUGAAAUCUUGCGGCUCAACCGCAAACGUGCAUUGGAAACUGGAGGACUUGAGUGCAGAAGAGGAGAGUGGAAUUCCACGUGUAGCGGUGAAAUGCGUAGAGAUGUGGAGGAACACCAGUGGCGAAGGCGACUCUCUGGUCUGUAACUGACGCUGAGGAGCGAAAGCGUGGGGAGCGAACAGGAUUAGAUACCCUGGUAGUCCACGCCGUAAACGAUGAGUGCUAGGUGUUAGGGGGUUUCCGCCCCUUAGUGCUGAAGUUAACGCAUUAAGCACUCCCGCCUGGGGGAGUACGGCCGCAAGGCUGAAACUCAAAAGAAAUUGACGGGACCCGCACAAGCGGUGGGAGCAUGUGGUUUAAUUCGAAGCAACGCGAAGAACCUUACCAGGUCUUGACAUCCUUUGACCGCUCUAAAGAUAGAGUUUUCCCUUUCGGGGACAAAGUG